AGCGAACGUUAGCGGCGCGCUUAACACAUGCAAGUCGCACGAGAAAGGGCUUCGGCCCCGGUAAAGUGGCGCACGGGUGCGUAACACGUAGGCAAUCUUCCCUUGAGCGGGGGAUAACGUUUCGAAAGAGACGCUAAUACCGCAUAAGACCACGAUUACUUCGGUAGUUGCGGUCAAAGCUGGCCUCUUCUUGAAAGCUAGCACUUAAGGACGAGCCUGCGGCCCAUCAUGCUAGUUGGUAGUGUAACGGACUACCAAGGCGAAGACGGGUAGCUGGUCUGAGAGGAUGAUCAGCCACACUGGAACUGAAACACGGUCCAGACUCCUACGGGAGGCUG
rnacentral:rRNA from 1 species